GGAGACAGAAACGCGUAGGGAAUCUUCUUACUCAUUUCUCACAUCUCCUUCUAAAGUGAAGGGUCAAAUCUGUAAAGAAGUUUGGAGCAGCCAUGUUGAAAGAUAGGGGCAGGGCACUGCAGCCAGGGGGUUGCCUACCCUGCUUGGAUAUGGAUAUUGUUGCAGAGGAUCCCUAGUCCAGCUUUACCAACAGCACAAUCCAAACCAUGUCUACUCAGAAGUCCUAUUGAGUUCUAUGGGGCUUGCAGUCUUCUUUGGAUCAAUCUGAGCAGUGGUACACAAAGCUUAGAUCCUGCCUGAUAUCCCCUGGUUCAGUAGUUCAAGACCUUCCAUCACGGCAACUCCUUAUAAGAUGACAAGCAGCAAAAUGACAUUAACAUUUUGAGGAGCUUCUAGAGAUGGCCACAGGAAAGAACAUUGGGUCAUCCCUUGUAAUCUUUAUACUGCCUAGAAAUUCCUAUUCGGAGUCUCUGUCAUUCUUCAAGUGAAGGUGAAAGCUUGUGAGAGGAUGAGAGCAAAUAGCAGAAUCACAUGGUACAACUUAACAUCUGCACAUGGAACACUACUUGGAGAGAAAGGAGGCUAUAUAAGAAUCUUCUUAAUAUGAACUGGUUGCUGUCUUCAGAAAUUGCAGCUGUGAGAAAGCCUGGUCCAGACUGGGACCACAGCAUGACCCUCAUGAGGAGGGCAGAAGAAGGGCAACAUCUGAUACUAGUGCCAAGAUCAACUGAAGGCAAUAUAUAAUUUAGGGGCAGGAGGCCAAAAAGAUACUCUGCAACCCACAGAUCACUGACGAUCCACAUCCCCUUGCUUAUUUAAAUUCAGUUGCCAAUUUGCUGAACGGCUUGUUCCAUUAUCAACUUGAAUAUGCCCUUUCCCAUAGCAGCCAAUUGAUGCACUGCGUGCCAAUGAAGUGAACUCUUCCUUGCUGAGACAAAUUGAGAAGAUGAGCAUUCUAAAUAUUCCUGCCAACACACAUGCAAAAAUAAUUUUUACUAAUCUGGUAAAGAAAACAUUGAACAGUUAAACUAUAAACAAAUUAAAUGCAUUACAUUCUCUGCUAUGGUUCUAAAAUCAUCUGAGCUUGAAAUUAAGAUUGGCAAUCCAUGAAUGCAUUUGGCAAAGGAAUAUUAACUAUUAAUUGUUCAAUUUUCCAAUAACCAAUCAGAAGCUGGCAUUGUUAAUAACUCUCUUUGCACAUUCUCUAAAAGGUGUGUUGCGCAGCUGCUCAGAAAGUUUUUCUAAAUUUGAAUGGAGUUUUCAAAUAUACACUCUUCACUGCCUGCUCUUGCUUUGACUUCUUUGUCUUCUUUCAAAUUCACCAUUCAACCCUGAUGCAGCAGUGGGCUGCAUGAGGGCCAAUAAGCUGAAGAUGAAUCCCAACAAGAUGGAAGUCCUGUGGCUGGAUGUUUCUCUGUUCUGGACAAGGUUGCACUCCUCCCACCGCAAAAUGCAGGCGCAUAAUCUGGGGGUGCUCUUUGAUCCAGCUUUGUCACUGGAGGCACAAGUGGUCUUUUACAAGCUUUGGCUAUGAGCAUUGCUGGACAGAGAUAGCCUUGACACUGUGUCUCAGGCAUUGGCAAACUCAAGACUGGGCAACAGUAAUGAACUCUAUGUGUGGCUGCCCUUAAGGAUGGUUCAGAAGUUGCAGCUAGGGCAGAAUAUGGUGGUUAGGUUGCUGGGUGGAACAUCUUGCUGGAUACAUAUUAUACCACUCUUAAAAGAGCUCUACUAGUUUCCAAUAUGGUACCAGGCCAGGUUUCAGGUUUCAGUUUUGCCUUAUAAAACCCUAAAUAACUCGGGACUGAGCUGUCUGAGGGAGUGCCUUCUCCAUAUUGACCUGCCUGAUCACUAGGAUCAUCUGGUGAGGCCCUGAUGCUGUGCCACAAUGUACAGAGACACAUUUGACAGCAAGUAACAGGAUGGCCUUUUCAGACAUGGUGCCUUCUUUUUGGAACCACUUCCCCUCUGAAUUAAGGCAGGCACCAGCAUUGAUGGUGUUUCAGUAUCUGCUACAAAAGUGAUUUAUUCUUGCAAGCCUUUGCUGAACAUUGAUACCAGUUGACCAUAAUAAUGGCAGAGCAAUCCAAACCCCUGAUCCACCAUGCUGGAGGGGGUUUGGAAGGGUUGGAGGUGUCCACCCAGCCCUGUCCAGUGCAAAUAUUCUGACUUAGUAUAAGGCAGUACUCCCAAGGAAACUUUCCUGUAAUUUGAUGUCCAUAACUUGCAAAUGCAUGAGAAAGCAGGGAGCACAAAACACUAUUAUCAGUGGCUGGGAUAUGUUUUUGUGUUAUAUGCCCUGGCUCCUAUGGAUCAGAAAGGUCCACAGGAUUCCAUGCAAAGGACAAGUGGAGAUCCAGCUCAUUUGCCCACCACCUAAGCCACCUUUUCCUGUGGAGGCCCCACACCUCUGGAACGCCUUACCUGUUGACAUCCAGAAGUCUACAGCAAUUGCUUUGGAAAGCUGUGAAAACCUCUCUGUUUCAGGUGACUUAGGAUCAUAGAAAGCUAUCUGAUACUGAGUCAGACCAUUGGUCUAUCUAGCUCAGAAUUGUCUACAUUGACUGGGAGUGUUCUCCAGGGUUUCAAGCAAGGGACAUUCACAUCUCUAUCUGGAGAUGCCAGGGGUUGAACCUGAGGCCUCGUGCUUCAAAACAGAUACUCUACCACUGAUCUGUAUGUAUUAGGUAGACAACAUUGUUCAGCUUUUGCUGCUGAAUUUUCUGAUCUGUAUUAUUUGAAUUUGGGGUUGUGGGGAAGAGUCUAUUCUAUUACAGUUGAUGUACUCUUACUUGAGUUGUUAAGUUGUCUUGGAGGGAUUUUUAUUUGGAUAGGUGGCAUAUAAUUCUUUUUAAAAUAUCAGUGCAUACAUAUUCACCAUACCUGUUGACUAGAAUCAGGAAUGGGAUGGAUAAAGGUGAAUUAAAAACAACAACUAGAUAAAGGCACUUAAAAAGCUAAAUGAGAGGGGCAUAGUAAGUCCUACACAUAUUUACUCCUAAGCUCCACUGUGUUCACAUGUUCAACUGGAGCCAGCUCUAUUCCAAGUAUCUUCCAUCUGAGUGAUAAAGCUCAUGUAUACAAGGGAUGCUGCUCCCACCCUUUAGUGGGGACAAACCUAUCACAUACACCUUUUUGA